rnacentral:rRNA from 1 species
UACAGAGGCCCCAAGCGUUGUUCGGAUUUACUGGGCGUAAAGGGUGCGUAGGCGGUCGGGUAAGCCUGAUGUGAAAUCUCAGAGCUCAACUCUGAAACUGCAUUGGAUACUAUUCGGCUUGAGGUCUGGAGGGGGGACUGGAAUUCUCGGUGUAGCAGUGAAAUGCGUAGAUAUCGAGAGGAACACCAGUGGCGAAGGCGAGUCCCUGGACAGAUCCUGACGCUGAGGCACGAAAGCUAGGGGAGCAAACAGG